rnacentral:rRNA from 1 species
AUACGUAGGUGGCAAGCGUUAUCCGGAAUUACUGGGCGUAAAGCGCACGCAGGCGGCCAGUCAAGUCUGACGUGAAAGCUCCUGGCUUAACUGGGAGAGGUCGUUGGAAACUGAUUGGCUUGAGGCAAUGAGAGGGACACAGAAUUCCCGGUGUAGUGGUGGAAUGCGUAGAUAUCGGGAGGAACACCAGUGGCGAAAGCGGUGUCCUGGCAUUGACCUGACGCUCAUGUGCGAAAGCGUGGGGAGCGAACGGGAUUAGAAACCCCAGUAGUCC